UACGAAGGGUGCAAGCGUUACUCGGAAUUACUGGGCGUAAAGCGUGCGUAGGCGGUUUGUUAAGUCCGUUGUGAAAGCCCUGGGCUCAACCUGGGAAUUGCAGUGGAUACUGGCGAGCUAGAGUGCGGUAGAGGAUGGUGGAAUUCCCGGUGUAGCGGUGAAAUGCGUAGAGAUCGGGAGGAACACCCGUGGCGAAGGCAGCCCCCUGGGCUGAGAUUGACGCUCAGGCACGAAAGCGUGGGGAGCAAACAGG
rnacentral:rRNA from 1 species